UUAUUUUCUUUGAAUAUGUCAAGCAAGUUGUUAGCGAUAGCGGAUACAUAGCUAAGCUUGAUUGAUUUAUAUUUUUGUGAUGCUGGUUUGGGGUGGUACCACCCUUUUUCUGGAACAGCUUGUUUAUUUGACAAUGUUUGCUUGUUUAGAAGAUUGAUUGAAAGGGAAUGAUUAUACAGUCAUUUGUUUUUGUUAUGUUACUUAUGCAUAUAUGUGUUGUCACACCCCAAACCCGGGGGGUGUGACUUAAGGGGUUCUCAAGUAAGAGAAAUUUAGAAAAAAGACCAAAUUUGACACAAUUGAAGUGUAACCUUAAGGCAACAACAGUUCAGCCUAGGGGAUUUUGAAAAUGAACCGUUCAGCUUAGGUAAUGAAUUUAACUUUGUUGAGGGUCAGUUACUAGAUUCAUGAUUUCAGUUUGAUUGAGUUAAUUUAUAUGAUUGUGUAUCAUCUGUUCAGAUAGUGAAAGUGUUGCAUAAAGACACCAUAUUGGCUUUUGAAAUCUCUAGUUAUAUCUCAGCAUAAUUUUUUAUUCAUCCUUCAAUAUUGAUUUCAGCUGAGCUGUGUUUUCUUUAAAAUUGGACAUUCCAACACUUUCUCCAAACAAGUUUCGUCCAAAACAAAAUAAGUUUGAACCCGUAGCUCCUUCCCAAAGAAAAGUCAGUUAACUGGAAUUUUGCAAAAACUGCCCUGCAGCAUAGCCCUCUUCAGUAUUUCUGUUUCUCAACAUAUUGGCCUCCAAAUAUUCUGAAAUUUUGACAUGUUUCUUUUCUGUUAGUUAACAAAGGAUCUGGAAAGUUUCGUCUUAUUUCGAUGUGUAGUGAAUUUUCGGUGAUUUUUCCAAAUUUGGUCUGCAUUUGGAAAAGUUCCAGCACUCUAAAUGUCUCCUUUGAAUUUCUGUUGAGAUUUGAACUUCCACUUGAAUUAUUUAACCUCUGGUUUUUGUGUAUAUUGAACUAUAUUUCCCAAUGCUCGUUUCGAAACUGAUUUCUUGUCAUUUGGACUUGCAAUGAAUUUUUUUGGUGAAUUUUCUAAGUUGACUUUGCUGCUGCAAUAUUUUUCUAAAACCUGACAGUUCAGUCUAUCUGCAUCCAUCUUUUCCCUUACUUCUCGAACUCCGAUUUUCUUGAAAAUUUAGUAUGUGUUUCUUUAACAUGGUUACUUUUAGUCUGAAAAGUUUCAAGUUCAUUGCUACAGAAAUGAAGUUUUAGUAAAUCUUCAAAGUUAAGUUGUUCAUGCUUUAACUCUCCAGCCGACUUAUGUCUCCCUUUCGUUAUAACUCUAUUGAAUCAGCUUUCAGUUCUUCAUCUAUAGUUUUCAAGUUCAGAUAAUGUAUUUUGUUGCUUGAUUAACAUAUAGUGUCAUUUGGUUUAAUGUUACUUACAUUUCUUUCUUCAAAUCAAAGUCCAUCCCGAAGUACUUCAUACUUUUAGGCUAAGAUUGUAUCGAUCUUGGUCUUAUUCACAUUUUCUCUUACUUGAGAACCCCUUAAGUCAUACCCCGGGAUUGGGGUGUGAUAUGUGUAUGUUCUAUGGGUACAGCUUAUGAAGACACGAAGACGAUUGGAGUUUCUUCUAGAGGAUCUUCCUUGCGAUUUUAAUCUAUCGGAGUAUUAUGACACAUCAGAUGAACUUAUAGAACUCUCUCUCUCUCUCUCUCUCUACAGCUUAUGAAGACACGAAGACGAUUGGAGCUUCUUCUAGAGGAUCUUCCUUGCGAUUUUAAUCUAUCGGAGUAUUAUGACACAUCAGAUGAACUUGUAGAACUCUCUCUCUCUCUCUCUCUCUCUCUCGGAGUAUUAUGACACAUCAGAUGAACUUGUAGAACUCUCUCUCUCUCUCUCUCUCUCUCUCUCUCUCUCUCUCUCAAUGAACUUGUAGAAGACGAUUGGAGCUUCUUCUAGAGGAUCUUCCUUGCGAUAUUAAUCUAUUGGAGUAUUAUGACACAUCAAAUGAACUUGUAGAACUCUCUCUCUCUCUGUGCUGAUGGUCGGCUUGCUGAUUUGAUCCGAAGAGUUGCUACCUUUGGGAUGGUAUUAAUGAAAGCUCGACUUGCGUCAGAUGUGCUUUUAUUUUAUUGUAGAAGAAGUUGCUACCCCAGGCUGAGCUUGGCUUCCUCAACAUAGGAAGCUGCCCCUCAAGAAGAAAGAGCUCUACUGGAAUUGGACAUCUUCGGGCAAUUCCAUGGGUGUUUGCAUGGACUCAAACCAGAUUUGUCUUCCAGCUUGGCUUGGAGUUAAACCCCUUGUUGAUCUUUUUGUGAGAGCAUCAAACACACCAGCCAUAAAGAUGUAUGAGAAGAGUCCCAUAUUGAAUCUGUCAUUCUUGCCAAGAUUAUAGGAGCUAUGCAGACGUACUUCCUAGUUCCAAUCUUUGCCUCAUGUUUUACGUUUUUUACCAAGCUUUGUGGUUGUGACUAGGGAAAUGUUUUGUUGGCGGGCCAUCCCUGGGAUGAGAAAUUAUAAUGGUGUACGGGUGCUAUAUUUUUACAUUUAGACUCAUGAAGAUCUAUCAGUGAUUGUCAUCCCUUGCAAAGGUUUCUUUUAGGGUAUGUUUCUGUGGAAUCUGACAAAAGAAGAGAAUUAUUUUCAACACUCUCAAGUUCAACAAUGUGAUGCUUAGAAGCACAAAAUUGGUUCAUAGUUCAAGUGGUGACUUAGAAUGAUUUACGGGGAAAUUCUUUA